GACGAACGCUGGCGGCGUGCUUAAUACAUGCAAGUCGAACGGAAAGGCCCUGCUUUUGUGGGGUGCUUGAGUGGCGAACGGGGGAGUAACACGUGAGUAACCUGCACUUGACUUUGGGAUAACUUCAGGAAACUGGGGAUAAUACCGGAUAGGAGAUCCUGCUGCAUGGUGGGGGAUGGAAAGAUUCGGCGGUUGGGGAUGGACUCGCGGCUUAUCAGCUUGUUGGGGGGGUAGUGACAGACCAAGGGUUUGACGGGUAGCCGGCCUGAGAGGGUGACCGGCCACAUUGCGACUGAGAUACGGCCCAGACGCGUACGGGAGGCAGCAGUGGAGAACAUUACGCAACGGGCGGAAGCGUGAUGCAGCAACGCCGCGUUCGGGAUGACGGCCUUCGGGUUGUGAACCGCUUUGGCCUGUGACGUGCCGUGAUUGACGGUAAUGGGUAAGGAAGCACCGGCUAACUACGUG
rnacentral:rRNA from 1 species